AAUAAACCUGCCCACCCCUCACAACAGGGGCUAACUCUUAAGUAGAGCAGGAGAGCACCCUGAGUUUCUUUGGAGAGGUUACAAAUACUUCAUUAUUAUUAUUUAAUGCAAAUCACAAAGUUCAGAGAAUCCUUAAAGCUCCCUGCAAAUAGGCAGAGCACUGUCUGGUUCCCAUUUAUGACUGGAGGGGGGUGCCUUAUUUCAUAGUCAGCAGGGUUUAAGUUAGGAGUGUCUGACCCUGGAGCAGUAUGUCCUUUUGCUUUGAUAAAUUGACUUUUCCAUCAGAGAUGAAACCUGUGCCCUAUGCCUCAUUCUGCUAAGCACUGAUCAAGCAAGUUAAUUCAGACUUUGCCUUUCUCCCCACUAGGAACUGCCCUCAGUUUCCUGAGCAUGCCCUUGGCCCCUGGUGCAAAACAAUGUUGUGUCUAAGCUGGAAGUUCCCUUAGAUUUUACGUCAUUCGGGGAGGCAGAUAAAUGGCACAGUCCCCCACUCUGCCCUCUCUUCCCUCCGGGAUCCCUGGCAGAUCUUACUCACUGACCCUGCAUCCUCCCCACUGUGCCCAGCCAGGCUCAGAAUCCACAACAGAGCCACAACAACUGGCUGUGUCUCCCCAGUUAGUGCAUUUGACGUGUGAAUUACAAUGAUUGCCACCCCUGAUGUGGCUUGGCUCCCCUGGGGAGGGAAAGUGACUGGACCCAGGCCUCACAAGGAUGAGUGGCUGAGGCAGACUUCCGGUGGCAUUUGCGCUGUGAAUGUGCCCACAGAGAGCUCCUGAAGCAGAGACUAGUUACAGCCAACUGGCAGUCCCAGGCAGUCCCCCGCAAGUACAGCCUCCCUCCUGAAGCAGGUAUUUGGAAUCUGACCUAGGGUGGUGUCCUGUGUAUAUGGUGACAUCGGGAGAUGACAGAGGAGUCUGUUUUCCUCACCCCUUUUCCUGUGACCCCCUAUGGCUGUCACUCAUGUUCAGGAAUGAGCCCUGGAUGAAUAAUUGGGGUUCUGGGAUUCCAAUUCAGCUCUGGGCUUGUCUCCCCACUUCCCUGAGAUAUGUUCCCCUUACCUGUAAAAUGGGGCUAGACCUCCACCCUGUUGUCCUGCCUCAUGGGUGUUACUGUGCAGUCCCCUCUAAACAUGGGGGAUUAUCUCACAGGAAGGUAAAACUUUAACAGUUUCCACCAUCCUGCAGAACAGAGUCCAUCCCACUGUUCCUCCGUCUCUAGGGAUUUUUGUGGAGAAGAUGAGCAGGUGGGGCUCUGGGUCUCUCUGUCCCAGGUCACCCUGCUUUUGUCUGCUUCACAUUGGGCCUCCAUGUCAGAUGCCCGAAACAGAAUGGGAGUAUAGCUCGCUGUGCACCCCAGCAGCCCUGGGAGUUCCCCAGAAGAGGGCCUGAGCAGUGACUGGCUUAGCAAGGGACGGCUGAUCCUCUCUUUUCCUGGCUUCCAAACAGAUAUGGGACCUGGCAUUCCUGCUCAGCGAUGGGAGUUCCUGUGGAGACCCUCACUAAACCCUGCUCCUCCCUAGCUUCCCUGCAAUAAAAUCAAGCUGCUUUCGUUGGAGAUGCUGUCUCAUGCAUGGUCUUGAUGUUGCCCACUUGCAGACCUUGAUGUUUGCCAUGUUCACUUGUAUUGGAGUUUCAAGAGCGCCAGUCACAGGCUUGGACCCUGGUUCCAUAUCUGACAAUUUGCUAUGAAGUCUUUGGCAAGUCGCUUCCCUUCUCUGAGCUUCAUUUUCUCGCAUCUGUAAAGUGAAGAAGUUGGGCCAGAUCACUUUCUUGUCACUCCUUUCUUAAACUCCAUAUUUUAAAAAACUUUUGUUUAUCAAGUGAAUUGCAUUUAAGGGAUGCCUAAUGUUAAUCAGGGCAGUUAGAUUAGUAGGAAAGAGUACAGGCUAUAAAGAAAAACUGCCUGGGUUGGAGUCCCAGCUCUAGCACCUCCCAGGUAGGUCACCUUUGAUAGGCCUCUUAACUUCUCAGCAUCUACAUGCACAAAAUGCGAUAAUAAUGUCUACUGCAAAUGGUGGUUGUGGGGAUUAAAUGAGAUGAUACAUGUAAAUCACUUAGAGUAGUGCUUGUCAGGUAGAAAUCACUCAGGAAACAUUACCCAUUUGCUCGUUUUUCAGUAUUUCAUUACUCAAAGAUCUGUAGAAAUGACAACUAGAAUUCCAGUCAGACUUAAGAAUUAGUGCCUCACAGAGCUGUUCAAUUAUGUCAAAACAAAGGGAAUGUUUUAGUCUGCCUGUGUAACUUUAUUUAAAAAUUUAAAAAAGUAUUAAAAUGGCAGUUCUCAAACUUUUUAGACUUAGGACCCUUUAACAUUCUUAAAAAUUAUUGAGGAUCUUGAAAAGCUUUUGGUUAUAUCCAUCAAUACAUACUGUAUUAGAAAUUAAAGUAGGAAUUUUUAAAAUGCAAGAAUGCACAGCACACAUCCCAUUAGCCACCAAAGAGAUGAGAUUAUCACACAUCAUGCAGACUUGAAAACUCCACUGUACGCUUGUGAGAGAAAGAAAGUAAAAAAGGCAAAUAAUGUCCUAUGGAAAUAACUUCUUUAACUCAUGGACCUUCUGAAAGGUCAGGGGCCCAUGUGUUGAGAAUCACUGCUUUAUCCAUUUACUGGGCACUAACUAGGAGUGCAUCAUUGCUGGAUGCCGAGAUAAGACCUGGCCCUGUAUUUGGUCACCCAUGACCUUGGACCAGUCCCCUAAUCUCUUCCAGAAGCAGUUUCCUCAUCUGUACAAUGGGUGUCUUAAGACCUGCACCUCAGGGUAGUGAAGACCUAGAACUUGGCAGACAGAAAUAAGAUGUCAUUUUUACUCUUAACUGGUGUGCUUGCAUGAUUUCAGUCCUGUUGUUAAAGUAUUAAACAAGU